AUUUCUGAAUGCUGACAUUUUCACACGCAGAUUGUGUAAGACCUGAUAGACUCUUAGAAAAGUUGGCUUUUACUCUGUGUGAAAUGGGGGCCACUGGAGAGUUUGGAGCAGAGAAGUAACAUCAUCUGACUUUUGUUUAAUCAGAUUGCCCUGUCUAAUUUGUCAAGAAUGUCAUGCAGAGAGGCAGGAGUAGAAUCAGAGAGAUCAUUUAAGAGGAUACUGCAAUAAUCUAGGAGAGAGAUGGUGGGGACUUAGAUGAAAGUGGUAUCAGUGGAAGGAGUGAGAUGUGGUCAGAUAUUGGAUAUAUUUUAAAGGUGAAAUCAAUAGAAUUGGUGAAGGAUUGAAUAUAGAACAUGAAGGAAAGAGAGGAAUCAAGAAUGACUCCAUAUAUUUGCCUUGAGCAAACAGAAUUGCCACUGACAGACAUGGGGAAAGGUGAAGGAAAAACAGAUAUGUGGAAAAGGUUCUGGGUUCCCCUGUGUUGUUUUGAGAUGUCUUCUAGGCAUCUGUAGAGGACAAAGCAACUCCAUCUUGGAUGCUAAUCUGCCAAGUUGGCUUCUGAUUAAUCCCUGUUCUGGGAGCUAAGAUUUCCAGUGUAUCUAUUGUUCCUUGUUUAAGAGCAGAUACUUACCAUAAAUCUUGCCCUUAGGUCAAAGAACUGUGAUGUCAUCACACCUCAACUGUCCGGUACAUCUCUUCUGAACCAGCCCUCCCCUGCAGUAUUAAUGCCCUGGAGCUGGAGAGUGAUGGAAUAGGGGUCUUGUCCACCACCACCCAGGACACAGACAUGGCUGCUUUUUCCAGGGCCUCUGGGACAGACCCUGCAGAUGGUGCCCCAUUUGAGGAACGCUGCAACGAAUCACGACGGAACCCUUGAAAACUGAAGUGACUGUGCAGUUAAUUGGCGCCCGCUGGGGAUUUCCAAGUUCGGGGGCAUUUUCAAGGCACAGCGAGAAAGCAGCUGACAAUCUUCACCAGAAACCAAAUCUUGAUGGCAGUUGAUUUGGUCUUCCCAGCCCCCGGAACUGUGAGCAACAGUCUUGCUCUUUUGUUGCCCAGGCUGAAGCGCAGUAGCACAAUUUCAGCUCACUGGAACCUCUGCCUCCUGGAUUAAAACAUCUUUCUAAUAUAUACAGGGAUGAACCAAUUUGAUUCAGGGAGAUUUCAGGACCCGACUUGAACCCACACUUCCUAAAGCUGAUAUGGCAGAAAACAGAGAAGCAUUCAAUUCCUGCUUGAAAUCAUCGAUUCCUCAUGAAGUUUAAUGCUAGAAAACCAAACCACAGCAAGGGACAUGGAUGAAUCUGGAGAACAUCAUUCUCAGCAAACUGACACAAGAACAGAAAAUGAAACACCGCAUAUUCUCACUCAUAGGCGGGUGAUGAAAAAUGAGAACACAUGGACACAGAGAGGGGAGUACUAAACACUGGGGUCUAUUGGGGGGAAAAGGGGAGGGCCAGUGGGAGGGGGAGAUGGGGAGGGAUAGCCUGGGGAGAAAUGCCAAAUGUGGGUGAAGGGGAGAAAGGAAGCAAAACACACUGCCAUGUGUGUACCUAUGCAACUGUCUUGCAUGUUCUGCACAUGUACCCCAAAACCUAAAAUGCAAUAAAAAAUUUAAAAAAAAGAGUGUUGAAUCUUGUCAAAGGUUUUUUUCUGUACAUAUUGAUACGAUCAUGUGAUUUUUCUUUCUUCAGCCUGUUGAUGUCAUGUAUUACACUCAUUGAUUUUCAGGUGCUGAUCUAGCCCUAGGUACUUGAGAUAAAUCUCAUUUAGUAAUGGCAGAUAAAGGAUUUUCAAUCUUCCUGAUCUUUUCAAAGAGCUGGCUUUCGGCUGCAUUCAUUUCUCUACUGAUUUCCUGUUUUUGAUUUUAUUUAUUCCUGCUUUGUUAUUAUUUAUACUCUUCUACUUACUUUGGAUUUAACUUGCUCUUCCUUUUCGGGUUUUCUAAAAUGGAAGCUUAUUGAUUUUAGCUUUUUAUUAUUUUCUAAUAUAUGCAUUCCAUUUUAUAAAUUUUUCAGUACAAAAUAAUUUCACUAUAUCCCCUUUGAUAAGUUAUAUUUUCAUUUUUAUUUAGCUCAAAAUCCUUACAAAACUCUCUUAGGAUUUCUUUUCUGAACCAUGUGUUGUUUAGAGGUAUGUUUAAUCUCUCGGUAUUUGGGGAUUUUUUUUUAACCUAUCUUUCUGUUAUUUGUUCUUUGUAUAAUUCCAUUGUGGUCUGAGCAUACACUGUAUAAUUUCUGGUCUUUUAAAUAAGUUAAGGUGUGUUUUAUGGCCCCAAAUAUUGUUUAUCUUGGUAAAAAGUUUUAUGUGGGCUUUAGAAGAAUGAUACUGUUGUUGAAAAAGGUGGCAUGUGAAUUAUAUUUAGUUAAUGUCAAUUAUAUCCAGUAGAUUGAUGUAGUCAUUGAAUUCAGCUUUGUUCUUACUGAUUUUCUGCUUACUGGAUUUGUACAUUUUGAAUAAAAGUGUGGAUGUCUUCCUGGAGAAUUUACUGCUAUAUUGUUUUGUAAUGCCUUUUUCUAUCCCUGAUAACGUUCCUUGCUCUGAAGUCUAUUCUCUUUGAAAUUUAUGUAGCUACUCCAAUUUUCUUUUAAUUAGCAUGCCGUAACCUUCUCCACCCUUUUGUUUUUAAUCUGUGUCUUAUUUAAAAUGGAUUUCUUAUAGACAACAUAAAAUUGGGUCUUUGUUUAUUCUGUUCCACUCUGACAAAAUUUAUCUUUUAACUGAUUUUAGACUACUAACAUUCAAACUUAUUGUCAGGAUCGUAAGAUCUAUAUUAUUCUACAUGAUUUUACUUUUUUUCCUUCCUUAGCAUAUUAUACUACUUUUUAAAAUUUCUUUCAGGGAUUGCCUGAGUGGUUACCUUUAACUAGGUAAUUCAAGUCCACUUUCAAAUAUAGCAUGCCUACAAAUGUGCCUAUGUGCAAGGUUUUGAGGAGCAUUUAUCAUGGUUGGUGUUUUCUGAACUUCCCAGGUCUGUGGUUUGUUGUAUGCCAUUAAUUUGUGGAAACUCUCAGUCAUUAUUGCUUCAAAUAUUGCUUCUAUUUUCCUUUUUAUUCUUCCCUGGUAUUCACAUUUUGAGUAUUUUAUAGUUAUUCCACUGUUCUUGAAUAUUUUGUUCCUUUUUUUCUUUGCUUUUUAAUUUUGAAUGUUUUUAUUGACAUAUCCUCAAGCUAAGAGUUUCUUUCCUCAGCUGUGUCCAAUCUACUGGUGAGUUCAUCAAAGGCAUUUUUCAUUUCUCUUACCAUGUUUUGAUCCUUAGCAUUUCUUUUUGACUCUUUCUUAGAAUACCUAUCUUUCUGCUUACAUUACCCAUCUCUUCUUACAUAUUGUUUACUCUUUUCAUUAGAGACCUGAGCAUAUUAAUCCUUGUUUUAAAUCCAUCAUUCCAACAUCCUGGCCAUAUCUGGUUCUGAUGUUUGCUCUGUUUAAACUGUUUUUUGUUUGUUUGUUUUCACUUUUUAGUGUGCCUUGUAAUUUCUCAUUGAUAGAGGAUACCAUGCACUGGGUAAACAGAACUGUGAUAAAUAGCGCCUCCAGUAAUGUGAUGUACUAUGUAGAGGAGGGGAAGCAUUUUAUACUCCUAUGAUUAGGUCUCACGUCUCAGUCUUUUAAUAAGCCUGUGCUUUGGACUAGAAACUUCACUAAUGCUUUUCAGUUUGUUUGGGAUUUCUACCCCCUACCCCCACCUUCUUAGGUGGUACAGGAAAUGUAGAAAAGUUAGGCAUUUUCCUUCCCCAUGUAAGUUAUCCUCUAGUAAAACCCCAGUGGCUUAAUUUUUCUGGAAGGCAGGCCUAGUGAGAGAGAGCAGAGUCCUCUGCUGCAUUUCAGGAAUGGCUUUUCCCCCCGAGUCCCUGCUGGAAGCCUUAGGGAAUUUUCAACAAUCUGCACUGUGAGAAGCUGGCAGAGAACUCACAAAAGAGUGGGGCCCUCUACAAUUGGAUCUCCCUGGAAGUUCUCAGACUUGUCCACACUGCACCUCCAGCAGCUUGUCAACUACAGUUCAGAUAUGCCCAUGCCAGCAUUAGUUCUGGGGUGGGUCCUGCGGGUCUGUGUCUGCUCCAGUAAGCUCUGAUUCUCUGGUUAUGCUUAUCUGUCUCUCCAAUAAUGAGGGCAGCAAGUUUGCCCUGUGACCUCAGCGUUCUGAUGAAUCUGAAAAGAGUUGCUGUUUUUCCAGCUUUUUACUUAUUGUUGAGAUGGAGUGGCAGCUUCUAAGCUCCUUCUCUGAUGGCCCAGAAACCAGAAGUCUUUCAAUAGUAUUAUAAUCCCUUUUUCCUUUUAAACCAUUUAGUACAUCCAUGUUGUAAACUAGACAAAGGCAGAAAAGACAGAAGAACGAGGAUCUUAUAAUGCCAUUUACUCCAAGAAUAUAGCAAGAGUAACUGUUUUACUGAAAUAACUCAUAAAAAGGUCAGAUGUUUGAGAUCUCAGUGACAGUAGCAUUACUGUUUUUAGACUGACAGAUUUACAGAGUGACCUUUCUGCUUUUUUAAACUAUACUCAUUUUAUUUGAUCUUGCACUUGAGCAUGUGAUACAAAUAGUAGAUAAUUUUCUCACAAGGCCCUAAAUGCCACAUUUGAACAUUAGAUGCUUGAACAUAUAAAAUAUUGCCAUAUAGUAGCUUAAGGAAUAUGUAUAAUUCUAUUAAAAUAUAAGAACUACAACAAAGUAAGCAACAGACUGGGAAAAAGAAACACACACACACUUAGGUACAAUUUGACCCUAUUGUAAUUAAUCUUUAAAUGCAUAAUCUCACACCACACCUCCAAUUUUUACUUCAAAGUGUCAUUCAUUACUCCUUCUGUCAGGACAAUUGGUUUGAUGUCAAAACACAGCUCCUUGCCUCUGUGGCGCUCCCACAUACUUAACUUUAUAGCCGUAAACUAUGAAAACUGCUGCUACCCAGCUAUACAGGACAUGCUGCUGUUUCUUAAAAAUAGUUGUUAUUUAAGAAUUUUGUUGGCUGGGCGCGGUGGCUCAAGCCUGUAAUCCCAGCACUUUGGGAGGCCGAGGCAGGUGGAUCACGAGGUCAAGAGAUCGAGACCAUCCCGGUCAACAUGGUGAAACCCCGUCUCUACUAAAAAUACAAAAAAUUAUCUGGGCAUGGUGGUGUGUGCCUGUAAUCCCAGCUACUCAGGAGGCUGAGGCAGGAGAAUUGCCUGAACCCAGGAGGCAGAGGUUGCCGUGAGCCGAGAUUGCGCCAUUGCACUCCAGCCUGGGUAACAAGAGCGAAACUCCAUCUCAAAAAAAAACAAAAAGAAUUUUGUUUUGUUGUUCUUGUUGUUAAAAAUGAGUUUCUGGAACUUAACACAUUGUAAAAGGCCCUGUAAUUGAAAAUGGUAAUAUACAGCAACCAUUUUCAGUUAUUCAAAUAUGCUUCCUUUCAGUUAGUUAAAUACAGUAAGCAUGUUCACACCAUAGGCUUCUGUGCAUGCUGUUCUCUCUGCUUAGAAAGCUCUUCCUCCAGAUAUUCACAAAUUCAUGUCCUCACUUUAUUUAGACCUUUUGUCAACUAUCAGAAAAUCCCAGAGAGAUCUUCCCUGACCCACCUCUCUAAUAUAGAAGCUGCAAUCCCCUUGUUUCCUUGAUUUGUAUUAUUUGUCUUCAUAGAAACUGACUGGGAAAACGCUAAUUGUUUAUCUGUAUACUGCCUGUCUACUCCACUAGAAUGGGGUCUUAGUCUCUUUUCUGUAGGGCUGUAUGCCCAUUGACUAACAGAAUGUGCCUGACACAGAGAAGAUGCCCAAUAAAGCUUUGCAGAAUGAACAGAUGCUUUUUCCAAACAUAUUCUCUCCCAAUAUGUAUGCUGAGAUAAUGUCACAUCAUCUUUCUUCUUGUGUGAAUGCUAGGUAAAAGAAAAGUGUGCCUGUUCUUUUAUUCUUGGUUCAGCCCUUGGUUAUUGGUGUACAGGAGACCGGCUUCGGUGGUGGAAUCCUGCCAAAAGCUCCUGUGUGGCUUCUUUAGGAGGCUCAAACUCUACUCCAGAGUUAUUACUGGUACCCACAAAUUUGUACAUGAGCCAUAAUCUGUUGAUAUAAUAUCUAAUCAGUAUAACAGCUUCGGUAAUAUGAAUAGGCAUACCAUUGAAAUGUAUUGUUAAUAUCUAAAUAUUCAUAAUCAAAUGAAGGCAAAUAUUCUAGCUGUAACUUGAAUGAAACCCUUUUAUAUGCUAUAUUUUAAAAUUGUAUCA